AGUUUUGGGGUGAGGGCUCCCUCUUUCCCCCACCAAGGAGAGACUCAACUCUCUCUUUCACAGGCUGUGUCAAAGUCUCCCCAGGAGCCCUGGCCAAAUGCUCCUGGUAACUUCCUGUUCUUUUCCUUACAGAGAAACUCCCAAGCUGUACAGUGCCUGCUCUCCAUAAAUCCCAGCUGCCCCCUGGAUCCAGCCGUACCUGUCUCCAGACUAGACUGUGUGCUUCCUGAGGACCAUGACUCUCACUCCCCGCAGCGCACCCUGUGCACUGCAGCUGCUAAGGGGUGUUUGCUGGAUGGGGAGUGGAGCAGGAGUGAAAACAGGGGAGCUCAGAAAGACGCAGAGAAAAUGGCUCUCGGGGUGUACAUCUUAUAAGGUGAGCUUCCCCGAGGUGCUUGUACUGGGUGCGCCCUCUCGGAGGGUUCCAGCUUCCAGCACGAGUCCUUGCGAAUUUGAUGAGGUUUGGGACCCUGCAGAAGGGGGGGUGCAGGUGGUCUGGAGCCUGGGGAGAGGUGGAGGGGUGCUGGGAGGGUCAGCAGGCCCAAGAGGGCAGGUGGGGUGAGAGGGCGUAGAGGACAGCAGCUGGGGGAACAGCCGCCGGCCUGGGCAGGGCGACUUGGCGCUGUGCUUUAUUUGUUGGCUGGACACCCCUCGAAGGGUUCAGGGAGGCAAGCUGAAAACAGGAAGCCCCAGAUGAGCUGUGAUCCGAGAUUGCCCGUUUGCUGCCCCGAGGAGCUGCGAGGGGGCUCCGAGGGACACGCCCACCCCCUCUGCUCGCCUCCGUCCUCCUCCCUCCCUCCUCCGCCUUCCCUGCUCCCCGUCAGGGCCCCUGCUACCCUGCUGGCCUCCUUCCUUCCAUGUCCUCCGCUGCUGCUCCCUUCCCGAGCCCUCCUCACUGUCGCCUCCUCCUCUGCUCUCAGCUUCUCCUCCCCUGGUCCCCGUGCAGUUUCUCCCACUCCGCUCCUCCCCUCUCCUGCUUUCUGGAUCGCUCUACCUUCCUUGGGGGCUUUGUGUGUGCACGUGUGUGCUCUGUCCUUGGGGCGAAUGAGUGAAUGAAGAGUGGGAACAGAGGGGCAGAGACACUGGAAGGAGUGGUUGGGAGGCAGUGUCGUGUUCUGAAUGGGAUUCCGAUCCCCAGUUCCAGCCUGGAAUUCUCUGUUUGCUUGAACAGCUCCUAUCCGGGGAGCUCACAGAGGGGCAAGGCAGUGCAGAAAGCCGUUUCUGCAUUUCCUUGUGUAAUUACACAGCCACACCUGCUUGAGGCGGAAGUCAGAGGUACAACGUGAAGCUGCACAAGCCGGGAAGGCAGUGUGUGUCUCCCGUGCCUCCACCGUCUCUCCCCUCUGCAGCCGGCCAUGGACCAGUCCAGGGAAGGACACGGACGUCCGCCUCCAUCUCUUUUCCUGACGGCAAACCAUUCCAUUGUGUGCUGUAUAACCACGGAGAUAGCCGGUCCCUUACCGACGAGCGUGUGGACCGCGGUCAAUGCACCAUCCCCAUGGUACCACGUCCCACGGCCUCUUGUUGCCAAAUGUCUUCAUGGGCAAAGGGCCCGCCCAACAUCCGUCCACCUCUGCCUACCCAUCGCUCCUGGCCGCCCGUCCCCUUCUGCAGAAACUCUGUCCUCUCUAGGUCCUGCAAGGUUUCUGAUGGAAGCGGCAAACCCCCGAGAGUACAGAACGUGGCCCUCAUGUCUAGAGAGUUUCCUCUUACAAACCGUGCCCGCACGGAGGGCCUUCUGUGCACCCAUGUGUUGGCCUCUGUUUCUCGAUGAUGGAUUUUUAGAAGCAGACUUGCUGUUGCCCGACUUUUACUUGAGUAUCCUGUUGUACAUGUUGUGUCUUGGAAAUUUACCAUGCAUCCUUUCUAGAGCAAGUAGCGCAAAAUAGUCCUCUUGGGGCCCCAACAGGUGGCCCAGUGUCUGGCAUCUCUCAAAAGCUCAAUAAUUAUAGAAUGUGUAAGUUAACGAAUGAAUGAAUCCAAUCAUUGUCUAAUCCUCAGAUGGAUGGCCAUUUGGCCAAAUCAUUUGUGUAUCCUAUAAAUAUUUAAAUAGCAUGUAAUGUAUUCCAGAACCUCUAUAAUGAUCUGGAUAACCCUUACACUAACCUACAGACCUCAGAAGAGAUGCAAUUGGGAUGAUCAUACAGGACAUAGAUUUGCAGCUGGAUGAACAACUAAGUACAAAGAAGUGUUUAUUGAUCUUUCAGUUUCAGCAAAGAAUCUCAAUUAUUCAACUACAGAGAAUCAAGUUUUAUUGAACACAACACCCUCUCACUGCCCCUCUUGCUAUAAUAAUGAUGUUUAUUAUAGUUUUAUUUAAAAAUCAUCAUAAUACUGUAAGAUACUUGUUGUUAUCACAAAUAACUGACCAGAAAGCCAGUGCUGCGGCUCACUAGGCUAAUCCUCUGCCUGCGGCACUGGCACACUGGGUUCUAGUCCCGGUCAGGGCACCAGAUUCUGUCCCGGUUGCCCCUAUUCCAGGCCAGCUCUCUGCUGAGACCCGGGAGUGCAGUGGAGGAUGGCCCAAGUGCUUGGGCCCUGCACCCCAUGGGAGACCAGGAGAAGCACCUGGCUUCUGCCUUCGGAUCAGUGCGGUGCGCCGGCCGCAGCGUGCCGGCCAUUGGAGGGUGAACCAACGGCAAAAGGAAGACCUUUCUCUCUGUCUCUCUCUCUCUCACUGUCCACUCUGCCUGUCAAAAAUAAAUAAAUAAAACAAAUAACUGACCAGGAAACUGAAGCUCAGAGAAGUAAUCUAGGUAAGGCCAAGCAGCCUUAGGAAUUAGGACUAGCAAGGGUCCACCAAAGUCGUGAGUGACACAGAGCUGAGAGGCCUGGUUACCGGUCGAGGCUGGGAGAUGGAAGGGUGGGGCAGAGCAAGAGAGCUGGCUGUUGGCAGGUGAACGUAAAGCCCUCCCCCGGGACAUGUGGAUCCCUAGGGUCUCGUGUACAAAAUGACCUGGAGGUAUUCACCGAGGACAAGCACCACACGGGGCUCAUGAAAGCCAGCUUUGGUGUUCAGCUGCAUUAAUAGAAGCAAGAUAAUUAAUAGACUCAAGGCUCCACUUGGAUACGAAUCAUACAUCGUUUACUCCUUGUUGCAUCUCCAGGCUCCAGCACAGUGUCUGGAAGAAACCUGGGUGUAAUGGACACUCAGUAUGUAUCUAUAAAUUCCAUACUCGGUAUGUUCAUCCAAUCAGUAAACCAAUGCAUUGCAUGCUUGUUGCCCAAAUGCUCCUAGAGGUGCUUAAACUGUAGCUAAGUCCUUGAAGAGCUCAUUCUAGUGGAAUGGCAGGGAGAAGGACACAGACGAUGGUGUGGAGCGGUGGAGGAGGUGCUCUGGAGAGGGGAAGGUGGGAGGGGAAGGCUGAGUAGGAGGGGCAGAGUCACAGGUGGUUACUGGGGAAGACCGUUCUGAGAAUGGAUGAAGUGAGGGUGUGAGCCGUGCAGGCAAGGAAUGGCAAGUGCAAAGGCCCCGAGGCAGGAACACUGCGUGUAUUCUGGGUAGAGGUAGGGGACAGGCUUAUCUGAUCCUGGCUGGUGAAACUACCUAUAGAGCACCUUGAUGUUGACUAAUUCUGGCACCACACAGUUUAAGAGAUUGCCAAAUGGGGGCAUUUCAAGACAGUAAAGGGUCUGAAACCAGCUCAUAUUAGGCUUGGGUUAAAAAGAGUGUUUUACAUAUACCUGCCUAAUCAAUUAUUGGAACAUGGUAAAUGGUCCAUAAAUAUUUGUUCAACUGGGGCGGGGGUGAGGAGGAAAUUGAGUAGCAACAGUAUGUCUUGUGGAAAAUAUCCAAAAGAUUUUUUUAAAUUGCUAAGAAAUAUUUAGCAUAUUAUAUGAGUAAUAAUAAUGGUAUAGCUAUCUAAAAACUGUUAUGAUAGUAAUACUGUCAAUGUUAUUAGGAGCCAAAUUUUUAAGUAUAAGGCAAAAGAGAUGCAAUUUUAAAAUCCAUGAAAUUAAGGAGAAACUCUAUAAUCCGAGAUUGUAAUUCAAAAUGUCAGUCUGACUUUAUGCUGUAUUUUCCUCUUUAAUACAUGUAUUUUCUUCUGUGUUCACUGAAAAGGUCUAGAAAGAACAACCAACAACAUAGUAAUGAACAUAUUUAGCACUGAGACUGUAGUCUCUAGAAACCAUUAUCUUGGUGGUUUUAAUGAGGGCUCUUUGUGGGGGAUGGCAGAUUGUAGGUUUGGGGCAGGAAAUAUACAUGAUCAUCUUAGACCAUCUUAUCAUGCUAGCAAGAGUGGGUAUCAUGUCAGAAAAACACAUGUGAAUCAACUUGAAAGGACUCCAUUUAGUCAAAGGCGGGAUCAUUUGAGUAUUAGACAAAAUAAAUGACUUCAAUGGAUUGAAAUAUAUCAAAUUGUUCAUAAUUUUUAACAAGCCACUGGUUGCUAUUGGUGGAUGCUAAGACCCAGUCUCACUAUUCUAAAAUGGUCAAUAAAGAGAUGAAAAAGUGUCCUUUUAUGAUGAAUUCCACCCAAUAAAUGCAGGAGUACGAGAGUGAGAACAUUCUCCUUCCGCAGCCCCCAAGGCAGUGAUGGAUCGGAGAACUAGUGCUCAAGGUCACGAGGACCUGGGAAUGGGGGUUGGGAAAUCACGAUGCGUGGAUCAUGCAGGCAACACGUGCAUUCACAGAUCAGUCCUGACAUCCCCAACGAGAGACCACCAGACCCCCUGUGCCUCCAGACUCACAAGGGAAAUGCACACCUCAACCCAGGAAGUGUUCUUGCCAAAACCCAGGACCGGAGUCAGAUCCGAUCUCCUUGUCUAACCCCUGGGUGAUGGGAAAGGCAGGCAAAAGAGGCGCAACCUGUAGCGGCCAUCAGUCAAGUUCAGAGUGAAGCAAGUUCUACUGAAAAGUGGUGUCCUGCUCAACAGAGAGAUGACAGGAAAACAAGAAACAGAUAAAAAGGAACUGCUAUAGAUCAAAAGAGAUUUAGGUCCUAGGAUCGUGUGAAUAGGAAGGCUGAGUUUGGGUAUGAUGAGAACAAAUCAAUUAACAGGGGCUUUGAACACUGAAUCGAUGGUGGGUGAUAUUAAAGAAUUAGGAAGAUUUUAAGUGUUAUAAUGGUGUUUGGCUCUGUUAAAGAAAAAAGCAAGCUUUUAUGUGUUAGAAAUGCACUCUGAAACAUUCAUGGGAGAAAUGAUAUCUGGGACUUGCUUUAAAAUAAUCUGUUAAGUUAGUUAAGGAGUAGCUGCCGAGGACUGAGGAGAAGAGGGAAGGAGCAGGGGCCGUUAAUGGCCGGGGCGUGACGGAAGCAUCCGGGUUCCGCCUUGUGAACAAACCCCACUGAAUUGUAUUCUUUAGAAGUGUGCAUUGUUUGAGAGUCGGAGCUGACUUUUCAGAAAUGAGAAAAGUAUCCAGCAAUGUGUGAGAGCAAGUGUGGAGGUGUAUGCAAAACAAAAUUGGACAUCAGUGGACAAUGGUGGAUUUUGAGUGAUUGGUCCAUGGAGUUCCAGUUUACCAUGCUCUCUUCUUUUGCAAGUAUUUGAACAUUUCCAUAAUAAAAGGUUAAAACCAAGCAGAAAGGCGGAAGCCAUAAGGGUGCGGGCAGCAUUGUACUGGGAAUGAGAUGAAAGUGCACACGGUAACGUGUGGCUGUGGCUGGGACUCCUUUUUUGGCGUGACUACCUAAGACAAGGAAAUUGUCGUUAACACCAUUCCAUCUCCCUGGGGAGGAAAAGGAGCCAUAAGUCUAAGAGAUUUACAACCAUUCGUACAAUAAAACAGUCUAACAUUGUCCUGCGCCACUCCUGGAGAGGACACUGUGACAUGUGACAGACGGCAGCUCCCGCAGUGCUCUCCGAUGAUCGGGUGUUUCUUAGAAUAUCCCCAGGUGCAGGCUCAGGUGCUGGUCUGCUCUGGCUACCGUGAUGAGAUACCACAGACCGCGGGGCUUCGACAACAGGCACUUACUUAUUUCUGACGUCUUGAGGCUGGGCAGUCUGAGAGCAGGGUUCUGUUGGGGGCCCCUUCCUGGCUUGCAGAGGGCUGUGUCUUACUGAUGUCCUCACGCGGUGGGGACAGUGUAUCUGGCAUCUCUGCCCGCAAGGCCACUGAUCCCAUCCUAAGGGGCCCACUCCUGUGACCUCAUCUGUCCUAAU